rnacentral:lncRNA from 1 species
UUGGAGCUCUGUGGGUGAGGAACUGAGUAUCACUUCUGCUAAAAUUCAUAGAUUUUAUUGAGAUUAGAGGAAUAGAGGAACAGUCCUUGGGUGGCGGAUGUGCUGUCUGACAUAGUUCAAAUGACAUCCUCACCCCCAUGGUGAGGAUCACAGCAGGAAUCAGGUGAUGGCAGGACAGAGAUUCCUGAAGAACCUCCCUUUGAAGGGAAAGGUGACCUCUUUUCAGCAACAUAUUAGUGGGUGUUGUGUGGACAGCUGCUGUGACUGCAAGCAUGCAUCAAAACAGUGCUGAAGCAAUCCAGGGGUGGACUGACCUGCUUUGCAGAGAAAGAAGGGGCAGAAGGCAUCUGUUUACGCUUAAUGGCCUUCUUUUUGGGUAAUAGCCCUGGGUAAAGAGAAUAAUAUUAGCU